CGCGUAGGCGGUUUGAUAAGUCAGAUGUGAAAGCCCACGGCUUAACCGUGGAAGUGCAUUUGAUACUGUUAGACUUGAGUACCAGAGGGGAAAGUGGAAUUCCCGGUGUAGAGGUGAAAUUCGUAGAUAUCGGGAGGAAUACCGGUGGCGAAGGCGACUUUCUGGCUGGAUACUGACGCUGAGGCGCGAAAGCGUGGGGAGCAAAACA
rnacentral:rRNA from 1 species